AUUUGAAAUCUGGCCCCUCCCGGGGCCCGAGUUGUAAUUUGCAGAGGAUGCUUCGGGUCCGGCCCCGGUCUAAGUCCCCUGGAACGGGGCGUCACGGAGGGUGAGAAUCCCGUCUGGGACCGUCAGGCCGGCCCCGUGUGAAGCUCCUUCGACGAGUCGAGUUGUUUGGGAAUGCAGCUCCAAAUGGGUGGUAAAUUCCAUCUAAAGCUAAAUACUGGUCGGAGACCGAUAGCGCACAAGUAGAGUGAUCGAAAGAUGAAAAGCACUUUGAAAAGAGAGUUAAACAGCAUGUGAAAUUGUUGAAAGGGAAGCGCUUGCGACCAGACUCGCCCGCGGGGGCUCAGCCGGCAUUCUCUGCCGGUGCACUCCCCCGCGGUCGGGCCAGCGUCGGUUCAGGCGGUCGGUCAAAGGCCCCCGGAAUGUGUCGCCCCUCGGGGCGUCUUAUAGCCGGGGGUGCAAUGCGGCCCGCCCGGACCGAGGAACGCGCUCCGGCACGGACGCUGGCGUAAUGGUCGUAAGCGGCCCGUCUUGAAACACGGACCAAGGAGUCUAACAUCUACGCGAGUGUUCGGGUGUCAAACCCGUCCGCGCAGUGAAAGCGAACGGAGGUGGGAGCCCUUGAGGGUGCACCAUCGACCGAUCCUGAAGUCUUCGGAUGGAUUUGAGUAGGAGCGUAGCUGUUGGGACCCGAAAGAUGGUGAACUAUGCCUGAAUAGGGUGAAGCCAGAGGAAACUCUGGUGGAGGCUCGCAGCGGUUCUGACGUGCAAAUCGAUCGUCGAAUUUGGGCAUAGCGGCGA
rnacentral:rRNA from 1 species